rnacentral:rRNA from 1 species
UACGGAGGAUCCAAGCGUUAUCCGGAUUUAUUGGGUUUAAAGGGUGCGCAGGUUGUUUGAUAAGUCAGUGGUGAAAGUCUGUCGCUUAACGGUAGGAUUGCCAUUGAUACUGUUGGACUUGAAUAUGGAUGAGGUAGGCGGAAUGUGUAGUGUAGCGGUGUAAUGCAUAGAUAUUACACAGAACACCGAUUGCGAAGGCAGCUUACUAAUCCAUCAUUGACGCUGAGGCACGAAAGCGUGGGGAUCAAACAGGA